AUUCAAUAAAUUAUCAAUUGAUAUACAUAUAUAAUAAGAAUACAAUAAUGAAUAAUAAAUAUUACAAUAUCAUGCAAUUAUCUUUCAAUUUGGUACAUCCAUCUUGUAUGUACUGGUCCACCCAAUCUAGCCUCAUGUAGAAGAUGAACAGAAAGAUGCACCAUGAUAUCAAAGAAGGCGGGAGGAAAUAUCAUCUCGAGCUUACAG
rnacentral:lncRNA from 1 species